rnacentral:rRNA from 1 species
AACGCGAAGAACCUUACCUGGGCUCGAAAUGUUAUGGACCGGGGUAGAAAUAUCCCCUCCCAGCAAUGGGCCGUAAUAUAGGUGCUGCAUGGCUGUCGUCAGCUCGUGUCGUGAGAUGUUGGGUUAAGUCCCGCAACGAGCGCAACCCUUAUCUUCAGUUGCUACCAUUUAGUUGAGCACUCUGACGAAACCGCCUCGGAUAACGGGGAGGAAGGUGGGGAUGACGUCAAGUCCUCAUGGCCUUUAUGUCCAGGGCUACACACGUGCUACAAUGGCCGGUACAAACCGUCGCAAACCCGCGAGGGGGAGCUAAUCGGAAAAAGCCGUCCUCAGUUCGGAUCGCAGUCUGCAACUCGACUGCGUGAAGCUGGAAUCGCUAGUAAUGGUGUAUCAGAAUGAUACCGUGAAUACGUUCCCGGGCCUUGUACACACCGGCUAC